CAUGAAAACCCUAAAUGUUCAAAGGGUAGCCGUCACUCCCAUCCCUCUUUUCUCUCUCUUCCUCACGCCCCCCUCCCCUCACCAGAAACUAGCGGCCAGCAGCAGCCCAUUGCCACCACGGCACCACCAGAAGCAGCCCCGUUCACCCUACUCUAGCAGCAGGCGUCUGUAGGCCCUCCUAAGAGCAGCUCUGCUGCGUUUUUCCUCCUCCAGCCGUGGAGGUUGCCCACAGGACCACCAAUUGUGGCCCACCACCACACACGUGAGCCACCACCAUAAGGACCAUCACUUCUUAGUCUCACUCUUUGUGCUCAUUUCAUAAGAGGAAAGUAGAACUUUAAUUGGGUGAUUUUUGUGACUUUUAGUCGUGCAGUGACGCUUACAGCAGGGACAUCAUAGAUAGACAUUACAGGUGAUGGAGCUUCUAUGCAUUCCGUACGGGGGGAAUGAGUGAGAACCUUGAAGCGUGCAAUGUUAUAUUUGUUUUUGACGCUACAUGUAGUUUCUUUGCAUUUAAAUUUGUUAGCUGCGUAGUUUAUAAUUUGUAUGGCUUUAAAGAGUCAAGUCGGUUUAAAAUGCAAGCGUUGACACCGGAACCACGAUCCAUGCUUGGCAUGUUGAUUUGAGAAGCCGGCGAUAAAUCAUUCCGCCGUGAUAUAGUUUUGAUAGGCCGUUGAUGCCUUUACUUUA